GGGGUGUUAGGGCACGACACCGGAGAGGGAGCCUGAGAAACGGCUACCACAUCCAAGGAUGGCAGCAGGCGCGCAAAUUACCCAAUCCCGACACGGGGAGGUAGUGACAAUAAAUAACAGUACGGGGUUCUUUAGGAUCUCGUAAUUGGAAUGAGUACAAUUUAAAUCUCUUAACGAGGAACAAUUGGAGGGCAAGUCUGGUGCCAGCAGCCGCGGUAAUUCCAGCUCCAAUAGCGUAUAUUAAAGUUGUUGCAGUUAAAAAGCUCGUAGUUGAAUUUCGGGGUUAGUAGGUUGGUCAUGCCUCUGGUAUGUACUGGUCUCACUGAUUCCUCCUUCCUGAUGAGCCGUAAUGCCAUUAAUUUGGUGUUGGGGGAAUUUGGACUGUUACUUUGAAAAAAUUAGAGUGUUUAAAGCAAGCUAACGCUUGAAUACAUUAGCAUGGAAUAAUGAAAUAGGACGUUCGAUCCUAUUUUGUUGGUUUCUAGGAUUGACGUAAUGAUUAAUAGGGAUAGUUGGGGGCAUUAGUAUUCAAUUGUCAGAGGUGAAAUUCUUGGAUUUAUUGAAGACUAACUACUGCGAAAGCAUUUGCCAAGGAUGUUUUCAUUAAUCAAGAACGAAAGUUAGGGGAUCGAAGACGAUCAGAUACCGUCGUAGUCUUAACCAUAAACUAUGCCGACUAGGGAUCGGAUGAUGUUAAUUUUUUAAUGACUCAUUCGGCGCCUUACGGGAACAG
rnacentral:rRNA from 1 species